UUCACUCUGAAAAUUUUAAAUAUGUCACAGGACCUUAUGGAUUUUCUGAACCCAAACGGUAGUGACUGUACUCUAGUCCUGUUUUACACCCCGUGGUGCCGCUUUUCUGCCAGUUUGGCCCCUCACUUUAACUCUCUGCCCCGGGCAUUUCCAGCUCUUCACUUUUUGGCACUGGAUGCAUCUCAACACAGCAGACAGGAACUUAACUAGUGGAAUAAUUGUGCCAUGGGUAGAUCCAUAUUAUAAUUGAAGCAACUCAGAUUGCAGAAAAGGAGUGCCCUCAGCCAUGACCCAUAAGCAAAGAGGUCGGAAACAAAUGAAAAAACCAAAAGUUCCAAGUAUCAGAAAUCUCCGUAGGUCACAUGCAACUUCCUCAUUUAUUUCUGUCUAUUCUGAGAUGGUAAUUGUAUGAGAAAGCCCUCUAUUAAUAAUAAAUUCAGGUUUUUUG
rnacentral:sRNA from 1 species